GUGGAGAUGAAGGUGUGUUUCCUGUAUUAUCAUCACACUGAGGACAGCUAUAAACUCAUCUGAUCACAGGGCCGUAGCAGCUGCCCCCCCUGGGAUUUGAGUAUUGAUGAAUGUGUGCAUGUCUCCAUUUUUAUCACACUGCUGAGGAGAGCCAAAUUCCUCAUCGACAUCAAGAUCAACAACCUGGCUGCCUUAAGAGAGAGAAGAUGAAGGUAUGUCUCUUGGAUUAUCAUCACCCUGAGGACAGCUAAACUCAUCAUCACCAUCAAGAUCUACAGUGUUGCAGCCUCAGAACAGCUCAGAUGAAGUUGUGUUUCUUGGAUUAUCAUCACACUGAGGACAGUUAAACUCAUCAUUACCAUUAAGAUCUACAAUGUCAGUUUCAUCUUGAGUGAGAGAUCAACUGGAACAGCAUUUGGUCAAGCAUUGCAGGGCUUGUAGAGCCAACACUACCCAAACUUUAGAGCAGUUUAAGCACAAUGAACUCAGAUAGGAGACUGCAGAUUGAAGGCUGUCGUCACACAUUGUCAAACAAAGAAGAAGCAAAUAGAUUUCUGCUCUGGGUACCCACACAUGGCUUAUUGGGCACACAAAAGUUACGUCCAAGUUCUCCUUGAGGACACUAGCUUGGAGCACAUAGAGGACUGUAGUGUAUGGAAGUCUAUUUAUCCUGUCGCCUAAUUAAUGAUAUUGAUGGUCAACUGCAG